UAAAAAAAAAAAAAAAAAAGAAAUACCUUUUCUCAUUUUCAUUUACUCCAAUAGUUACUGAUAAUUCUGAAACAUUAUAUCCUAUAGAAUGGAUCCCACAAAGUUCAUGUGUAGGAUUAGAUAAAAAAUAACCCACCAGCAGAAUCUGAUCUAGGAAAAAUAGCUUUAUGGGUUAAGUUUUUCUCCCUUAUACUGGAAGGGUUAGGUCUUGUUUUGAAAUAGUUCCAGAAUUAUGAAAAUUUGGAAAAAAAAAAUUGUCCUUUCUUGCCGCACAUUAGAGUUGCAUAGUGUGUCUUUAUGGCUUCUUUAACAUGCAUGAAAUUGUGGAUUAAAAACUUGUUUGUUCUAAUAAUUCAUUGCCAUUGCCCAAUUUGUGGAAAUUGG
rnacentral:misc_RNA from 1 species